rnacentral:rRNA from 1 species
CAAUAGCGUAUAUUAAAGUUGUUGCAGUUAAAAAGCUCGUAGUCGGAUUUUGGCAUCACGCCGAACUGUCUGCCGAUUGGUAAGUACGGUUUGGCGGGUGCUCUCCUUCCGGAGGCUCGUUCCCUUCUUAAUUGAAGGGUUCGUUGGUUCCGGGUCUUUUACUUUGAAAAAUUAGAGUGUUCAAAGCAGGCCUAUGCUCUGAAUAGGUUAGCAUGGAAUAAUAGAAUAGGACUUUGGUUCUAUUUUGUUGGUUUCUAGGACCGAAGUAAUGAUUAAUAGGGAUAGUUGGGGGUAUUCGUUAUUCAAUUCGUCUAGAGGUGAAAGUUCUUAGGUAUUUGGUUAAAGUACGGUAACUACGUGCGAAAGCAAUUUGCCUAAGGACUAGGUUUUCAUUUUGAUUC